rnacentral:rRNA from 1 species
GAGUUUGAUUCUGGCUCAGAUUGAACGCUGGCGGCAUGCUUUACACAUGCAAGUCGAACGGCAGCACAAGGAGCUUGCUCCUGGGUGGCGAGUGGCGAACGGGUGAGUAAUGUAUCGGAACGUGCCUGGUAGUGGGGGAUAACCACUCGAAAGAGUGGCUAAUACCGCAUGAGAUCUCUGGAUGAAAGCGGGGGACCUUUGGGCCCCGCGCUACUGGAGCGGCCGAUAUCAGAUUAGGUUGUUGGUGGGGUAAAGGCCUACCAAGCCUGCGAUCUGUAGCUGGUCUGAGAGGACGACCAGCCACACUGGGACUGAGACACGGCCCAGACUCCUACGGGAGGCAGCAGUGGGGAAUUUUGGACAAUGGGCGCAAGCCUGAUCCAGCAAUGCCGCGUGCAGGACGAAGGCCCUCGGGUUGUAAACUGCUUUUGUACAGAACGAAAAGUCUCUGGCUAAUACCUGGGGAU